UACGGGGGGAGCAAGCGUUGUUCGGAUUUACUGGGCGUAAAGGGCGCGUAGGCGGUCGUGACAAGUCACUUGUGAAAUCUCCGGGCUUAACUCGGAGCGGUCAAGUGAUACUGUCGUGCUAGAGUGCGGAAGGGGCUACUGGAAUUCUCGGUGUAGCGGUGAAAUGCGUAGAUAUCGAGAGGAACACCUGCGGCGAAGGCGGGUAGCUGGGCCGACACUGACGCUGAUGCGCGAAAGCCAGGGGAGCGAACGGG
rnacentral:rRNA from 1 species